rnacentral:tRNA from 1 species
GCCGGAGUGGCGAAAUGGCAGACGCGCCGGACUCAAAAUCCGGUGGGGUUCACUCUCCGUGUGGGUUCGAGUCCCACCUCCGGCACCA